rnacentral:rRNA from 1 species
UACGUAGGGGGCAAGCGUUGUCCGGAAUUAUUGGGCGUAAAGAGCUCGUAGGCGGUCUGUCGCGUCUGCUGUGAAAACUCGGGGCUUAACCCCGGGCCUGCAGUGGGUACGGGCAGACUAGAGUGCGGUAGGGGAGACUGGAAUUCCUGGUGUAGCGGUGAAAUGCGCAGAUAUCAGGAGGAACACCGGUGGCGAAGGCGGGUCUCUGGGCCGUAACUGACGCUGAGGAGCGAAAGCCAGGGGAGCGAACGGG